AAGGCUUUAAGUUAAAUAAACUAAUAGCCUUCAAAGUUACAAAUAUAAGUUUUAAUCUUUUAAGCCUUA
rnacentral:tRNA from 1 species